rnacentral:rRNA from 1 species
CCCUUAGAUGUUCGGGGCCGCACGCGCGCUACACUGAAGGAAUCAGCACGUCUUUCUCCUUGUCCGAAAGGACUGGGUAACCCGCUGAACCUCCUUCGUGCUAGGGAUUGGGGCUUGUAAUUCUUCCCCAUGAACGAGGAAUUCCCAGUAAGCGCGAGUCAUAAGCUCGCGUUGAUUACGUCCCUGCCCUUUGUACACACCGCCCGUCGCUACUACCGAUGGGAUGGUUUAGUGAGAUCCUCGGAUUGGUCCCGGCGCGGCCUCUGGUCGUGCCGGAGUGCCGAAAAGAAUGUCGAACUUGAUCAUCUAGAGGAAGUAAAAGUCGUAACA